GUCUGUUUCACAACCAUUCCUGGAAAUCUUGCGAUGCCGCGCCUCUGGGUUUAGAAACUCUGUGAUUUGUUCUAUAAAACAGGUUGUCAGACGCCAGUCUACAUCUGGGUAGAGAAACAUCCCAUACAUUCUGAAGUAUGUGUUGUACUUGGCUUCUAUUUUGAACAUCUAAUGGUGAUUUUUGUUUGGUUGACAUCCAUCGGCAAACUUCGAUGACUUAAGAGCCAAGGAGGAGGACGGAUGAGAACAGCAGGCCAGUGGAGCACUUUGAACGGCAGCAGCUAGGGGCACAUGGUAGGGAAGAGGAGGAUUUAGGUGACCUAGACACAGGACCAAAACAAGUUAAGCUACCUCAGUAUCCCCUUGGACAUUCUGGAUUGCAAAACUAAAGAGACCCAGCAGACAAGACACCGAGAUAGAUGGCAACAGAGGAGUAGAUGAGCCACAAAACACAGAGACAGCAACACAACAAUAGGAUAUGAUGCAGAGACACCAGAAGAGGAAAGACAAAGAGACUGUAACAAACAAGAACCUGAGACAGCAACACAACAAUAGGAUAUGAUGCAGAGACACCAAAAGAGGAAAGACAAAGAGACUGUAACAAACAAGAACCUGAGACAGCAACACAACAAUAGGAUAUGAUGCAGAGACACCAGAAGAGGAAAGACAAAGAGACUGUAACAAACAAGAACCUGAGACAGCAACACAACAAUAGGAUAUGAUGCAGAGACACCAGAAGAGGAAAGACAAAGAGACUGUAACAAAUAAGAACCUGAGACAGCAACACAACAAUAGGAUAUGAUGCAGAGACACCAGAAGAACAUCACAGAAGAGGAUAGACAAAGAGACUGUAACAAACAAGAACCUGAGACAGCAACACAACAAUAGGAUAUGAUGCAGAGACACCAGAAGAGGAAAGACAAAGAGACUGUAACAAAUAAGAACCUGAGACAGCAACACAACAAUAGGAUAUGAUGCAGAGACACCAGAAGAGGAAAGACAAAGAGACUGUAACAAACAAGAACCUGAGACAGCAACACAACAAUAGGAUAUGAUGCAGAGACACCAGAACAGGAAAGACAAAGACACUGUAACAAACAAGAACCUGACGAGCCUGACGAACAGACGAGGCAACAGAGAAAGUGACAGAGUAGAUGGAGAGUGAACAGAGGUAUGAUCCUGUUUUGUUUGUUCCUAUGUAGUUUUACUUAGUUUUCACUCAGUCAUAUUCACACACACAGAUUCACGCAUCCCUGCACUUUACAUACACCUCACAUUAUGAUACAUUCACACCUCAUUCCUUUUUCUUUGUUUACAGUUAAUUGUUUGGUUUGUAAUAAAGAACCUUUUUGAUUGGCCUAUACCUGUUCGUGUCCCCUCAUUUUUGCCACAGGCUAUGAGCCGGCCUGUGACACUAAGACACCAACAAUCACGGACAGAACAGAGAGGUAUGCCAGAGGGUUAAAU